GGAGAGGUGCCUGAGUGGCCGAAAGGAACGGUUUGCUAAAUCGUCGUACGCCAAAAGCGUACCGCGGGUUCGAAUCCCGCCCUCUCCG
rnacentral:tRNA from 1 species